rnacentral:rRNA from 1 species
UACGUAGGGACCAAGCGUUGUUCGGAUUUACUGGGCGUAAAGGGCGCGUAGGCGGCAAUUUAAGUCAGCUGUGAAAUCUCCGGGCUUAACUCGGAACGGUCAGCUGAUACUGCUUUGCUAGAGUGCAGAAGGGGCAAUCGGAAUUCUUGGUGUAGCGGUGAAAUGCGUAGAUAUCAAGAGGAACACCUGAGGUGAAGGCGGGUUGCUGGGCUGACACUGACGCUGAGGCGCGAAAGCUAGGGUAGCAAACGGG